CCUACGGGAGGCAGCAGUGGGGAAUAUUGCACAAUGGGGGAAACCCUGAUGCAGCGACGCCGCGUGAGUGAAGAAGGAUUUCGGUAUGUUAAGCUCUAUCAGCAGGGAAGAAGCAAGACGGUACCUGACUAAGAAGCCCCGGCUAACUACGUGCCAACAGCCGCGGUAAUACGUAGGGGGCAAGCGUUAUCCGGAUUUACUGGGUGUAAAGGGAGCGUAGACGGUAUGGCAAGUCUGAAGUGAAAGCCCAGGGCUUAACCCUGGGACUGCUUUUGAAACUGUUAGACUAGAGUGCUGGAGAGGUAAGUGGAAUUCCUAGUGUAGCGGUGAAAUGCGUAGAUAUUAGGAGGAACACCAGUGGCGAAGGCGGUUUACUGGACAGUAACUGACGUUGAGGCUCGAAAGCGUGGGGAGCAAACAGGAUUAGAUACCCUGGUAGUC
rnacentral:rRNA from 1 species